CCAGACUCCUACGGGAGGCAGCAGUGGGGAAUAUUGCACAAUGGGGGAAACCCUGAUGCAGCGACGCCGCGUGGGUGAAGGAGUAUUUCGGUAUGUAAAGCCCUAUCGGCAGGGAAGAAGCAAGACGGUACCUGACUAAGAAGCCCCGGCUAACUACGUGCCAGCAGCCGCGGUAAUACGUAGGGGGCGAGCGUUAUCCGGAUUCACUGGGUGUAAAGGGAGCGUAGACGGCCAUGCAAGCCAGGGGUGAAAGCCCGGGGCCCAACCCCGGGACUGCCCUUGGAACUGCAUGGCUGGAGUGCGGGAGGGGCAGGCGGAAUUCCUGGUGUAGCGGUGAAAUGCGUAGAUAUUAGGAGGAACACCAGUGGCGAAGGCGGCUUACUGGACUGUAACUGACGUUGAGGCUCGAAAGCGUGGGGAGCAAACAGGAUUAGAUACCCCCGUA
rnacentral:rRNA from 1 species